GUGCUCGCUUCGGCAGCACAUACUCAAACUGGAACAAUACAGAGAAGAGUAGGAUGGCCCCUGUGCAGGGAUGACCCGCAAAUUCAGGAAGUGUUCCAUAUUUUU
ensembl:snRNA U6 U6 spliceosomal RNA